rnacentral:rRNA from 1 species
GCGCACCAGGCGAGAAUUUUUGACAAUGGGGGAAACCCUGAUCGAGCGACGCCGCGUGGAGGAUGAAGGUCUUCGGAUUGUAAACUCCUGUCAUUGGGGAACAAGGUGCAUACGUUAACUGCGUGUGUAUUGAUAGUACCCGAAGAGGAAGGGACGGCUAACUCUGUGCCAGCAGCCGCGGUAAUACAGAGGUCCCAAGCGUUGUUCGGAUUCAUCGGGCGUAAAGGGUGCGUAGGCGGCGCGGUAAGUCGGGUGUGAAAUCUCGGAGCUUAACUCCGAAACUGCAUUCGAUACUGCCGUGCUUGAGGACUGGAGAGGAGACUGGAAUUUACGGUGUAGCGGUGAAAUGCGUAGAUAUCGUAAGGAAGACCAGUGGCGAAGGCGGGUCUCUGGACAGUUCCUGACGCUGAGGCACGAAGGCCAGGGGAGCAAACGGGAUUAGAUACCCCUGUAGU